rnacentral:rRNA from 1 species
GACGAACGCUGGCGGCGUGCUUAACACAUGCAAGUCGAACGGAAAGGCCCUGCUUUUGUGGGGUGCUCGAGUGGCGAACGGGUGAGUAACACGUGAGUAACCUGCCCUUGACUUUGGGAUAACUUCAGGAAACUGGGGCUAAUACCGGAUAGGAGCUCCUGCUGCAUGGUGGGGGUUGGAAAGUUUCGGCGGUUGGGGCUGGACUCGCGGCUUAUCAGCUUGUUGGUGAGGUAGUGGCUUACCAAGGCUUUGACGGGUAGCCGGCCUGAGAGGGUGACCGGCCACAUUGGGACUGAGAUACGGACCAGACUCCUACGGGAGGCAGCAGUGGGGAAUAUUGCACAAUGGGCGGAAGCCUGAUGCAGUAACGCCGCGUGCGGGAUGACGGCCUUCGGGUUGUAAACCGCUUUCGCCUGUGACGAAGCGUGAGUGACGGUAAUGGGUAAAGAAGCACCGGCUAACUACGUG